UACGGAGGGAGCUAGCGUUGUUCGGAAUUACUGGGCGUAAAGCGCACGUAGGCGGCUUUGUAAGUUAGAGGUGAAAGCCCGGGGCUCAACUCCGGAACUGCCUUUAAGACUGCAUCGCUUGAAUCCAGGAGAGGUGAGUGGAAUUCCGAGUGUAGAGGUGAAAUUCGUAGAUAUUCGGAAGAACACCAGUGGCGAAGGCGGCUCACUGGACUGGUAUUGACGCUGAGGUGGCGAAAGCGUGGGGGAGCAAACAGG
rnacentral:rRNA from 1 species